rnacentral:rRNA from 1 species
AGAGUUUGAUCCUGGCUCAGAAUCAACGCUGGCGGCGCGCUUAACACAUGCAAGUCGCACGAGAAAGGGAGCAAUCCUGAGUAAAGUGGCGUACGGGUGAGUAACACGUGGAUCAUCUACCUUUUAGUGGGGAAUACCCCCGGGAAACUGGGGACAAUACCGCAUAAGCUCGUGAGAGGAAAGCAGCGAUGCGCUGAAAGAGGAGUCCGCGGCUGAUUAGCUAGUUGGUGAGGUAACGGCCCACCAAGGCGAAGAUCGGUAGCCGGCCUGAGAGGGCACACGGCCACACUGGCACUGAAACACGGGCCAGACUCCUACGGGAGGCAGCAGUGGGGAAUCUUGCACAAUGGAGGAAACUCUGAUGCAGCGACGCCGCGUGAGCGAUGAAGCCCUUCGGGGUGUAAAGCUCUUUCGACGGGAACGAUAAUGACGGUACCCGAAGAAGAAGCUGCGGCUAACUACGUGCCAGCAGCCGCGGUAAUACGUAGGCAGCAAGCGUUGUUCGGAAUUACUGGGCGUAAAGAGUGUGUAGGCGGUGCACUAAGUCUGUCGUGAAAUCUCCCGGCUUAACUGGGAGGGUGCGGCGGAAACUGGUGUGCUUGAGGAUGGGAGAGGUAAGCGGAAUUCCUGGUGUAGCGGUGAAAUGCGUAGAUAUCAGGAGGAACACCUGGUGUAGACAGCUUACUGGACCAUUUCUGACGCUGAGACACGAAAGCGUGGGUAGCAANNAGGAUUAGAUACCCUAGUAGUCC